rnacentral:piRNA from 1 species
UACUGUAGUUGCGGUUCUGGGCAC